UACGGAGGGUGCAAGCGUUGUUCGGAAUCACUGGGCGUAAAGGGCGUGUAGGCGGUCUAUCAAGUCUGGUGUGAAAUCCCCUCGCUCAACGAGGGAACUGCGCCGGAAACUGACAGACUAGAGUACCGGAGAGGAAGGUGGAAUUCCCGGUGUAGCGGUGAAAUGCGCAGAUAUCAGGAGGAACACCAAUUGCGAAGGCAGCUCGCUGGGACGUUACUGACGCUGAGACGCGAAAGCGUGGGGAGCAAACAGG
rnacentral:rRNA from 1 species